AUUGAACGCUGCGGCAGGCUUAACACAUGCACGUCGAGCGAGCGGCGGACGGGUGAGUAAUGCUUAGGAAUCUGCCUAUUAGUGGGGGACAACAUCUCGAAAGGGAUGCUAAUACCGCAUACUAAUCGAUGAGCCUAGUCGGAUUAGCUAGUUGGUGGGGUAAAGGCCUACCAAGGCGACGACCUGUAGCGGGUCUGAGAGGAUGACCAGCCACACUGGUACUGAGACACGGUCCAGACUCCGACGGGAGGCAGCAGUGGGGAAUAUGGCCAAUGGGCACAAGCCUGAUGCAGCAAUGCCGCGUGUGUGAAGAAGGCCUUCGGGUUGUAAAGCACUUUCAGCGGGGAGGCGUUACCCGCAGAAGAAGCACCGGCUAACUCCGUGCCAGCCGCCGCGGUAAUUC
rnacentral:rRNA from 1 species